GGUGAACGCUGGCGGCGUGCCUAAUACAUGCAAGUCGAGCGCAGGAAACCGUCUGAACCCUUCGGGGGGACGACGGCGGAAUGAGCGGCGGACGGGUGAGUAACACGUAAAGAACCUGCCCACGGGUCUGGGAUAACCACGAGAAAUCGGGGCUAAUACCGGACGGGUCAUCGGACCGCAUGGCCCGAGGAUGAAAGGCGCUCCGGCGUCGCCCGUGGAUGGCUUUGCGGUGCAUUAGCUAGUUGGUGGGGUAACGGCCCACCAAGGCGACGAUGCAUAGCCGACCUGAGAGGGUGAUCGGCCACACUGGGACUGAGACACGGCCCAGACUCCUACGGGAGGCAGCAGUAGGGAAUCUUCCACAAUGGACGAAAGUCUGAUGGAGCAACGCCGCGUGAACGAUGAAGGCCCUCGGGUCGUAAAGUUCUGUUGUAAGGGAAGAACAAGUGCCGCAGGCAAUGGCGGCACCUUGACGGUACCUUGCGAGAAAGCCACGGCUAACUACGUGCCAGCAGCCGCGGUAAAAC
rnacentral:rRNA from 1 species